UUCCUGCAGGGCUUCAACGGCAGUGUGACCAAGUCUCAAAGUGAAGGGGCUGCUAAAGCUGUCUUCGUGGUUGUCUGUGCCACAGGGGCAGGGGUGUAGGAUGACCUUAAGUCUCCAGGCUCCCUACCAGCCAGCCUGGCCAGGCUGCUCCUAAUGAAUAACAAAUGGGCCUUCAUGAUGCAUUUGCUCAGGACAAGCUGCCAUUACAAGCCUCUGUUUUCUUUAGCAUAUGGUAAUGUAUCAUCUUGCUUGGCUGGAUGUCAUCUUGAGAAGGUCACCAAAGGAUCUUACUCUGUCACCCAGGCAGGAGUGCAGUGGUACAAUCACACUUCAUUGCAGCCUCAACCUCCCAGGCUUAAGAGAUCCUCCCACUUCAGCCUCCUGAGUAGCUGGGACCACGGAGUUUCUGCAUUCAAAUUAAGUUCCUCAAGAAAAGAAACGAAAAAGAUCCCGGCAUUUCCUAAGUACCAUCUAUGUGACAUUUAUUUAAUGGAAUUACAUACAAGAGGGGUUUUGGAGAAUGCCUUUGCCUUUCACUUGGGAUGAGAAUUUCCUCUGCAGCAUGCGAAACAGGCUUAUUAACAAAACUUCAUACCGUAAUAAAAGAUGGAGAGAGAAGAAAUGUGCAAAAAUACAUACACCUGACUUAACAGAGUCUGUUAAAUGAGAAAUUGUCAGAGUACAAAUGAAUGACACUUUCUUCAAAAUGCCCUUGAGCACUCUUCAUUCCAGACGGGAUUGGACUCAGUGGAAGCUCCUUGAGAACAAGGCUGGGGGGUAUGCUUCUGGGUAUUUGGUGUAGGUACAUCUCAAACAACUGGGAAGCUUUAUUUUACAUGUGUCACAGUUCUGCAGUGUGGCAAAGAGAUGGCCUUUUCCCUAACAGCCUGGGACAUUCUUGAACAGCAGUAUAGGGACAGUAAAGGAUGUGACACUGAAGUCAGAAAGCUUGGGUCUCUGUCAGGCCCCAGCUACAUGCUGACGGUGUGAUUUUAGGAAAGGAGCUUGACUGCUAUGUAUCUCCGUUUCCUUUUCUGUAAAAUGUGAAUAAUAACUGCACCCUCCAGAGACCUUGUGAGGAAUACGAGCACCACAGCAGCAACAUGCUUGGCACAUGGUAAGCAUGUCAUCAACAGUGAGCACUGGUUUAAACAUUACUACUUAGUUUUCAGCCUAAAAGAAAAUACAUAAGCAAACCAAGUGUUAGAUUUUCUUUUUUUUUUUUUCAAAAAAAAUGCAUCACAUUUUUCAUCUUCAAUGGAAAGGUAAAAUUUUCACCAUGAAACCUACUUUAUAACAAACCAAAUUAAUCAUACACAAAAUACGCAUUGUUCAUAUUUUAAUCUUACUUAGGCUAAAUUCCAAACAUAAAGAUGAAGGAACUGGAGAAGAAAAUAGAGAAGCAUUGUCCAACAGAACUUCCUGCAAUGCUGGCAAUGUUGUAACUUGUUCUGCUCCCAAUAUUUAUACCACGAACUAAAUGUGGCACUUCCAAUGUGUUUGGUGUAAACCAGGAACUGAAUUCUUAAUUUAAUAUUAAUUAAAAUUUAAAUGUAAAUAGUCACGUGUCUGUUGGCUACUGAAUUAGAAAGAGCAGCAUCAGAACAUCCCAUUUUUCACAGCUUUGUUGUCCAGUGGUGAUGGUUAUAAAUUAUUUCAGUCUUUGUGGAACGUUUACCUUUUUCGGUCAUAGGAAACAAACUUCAAUUCUUUUAAAUUGAGUAUAACUAAUGGAUUACUAUUUAAUCCAGAGAUUCCACUUUCUGGAUUUAUUCUAAGGAUAUAUAAUAAGGGAGUUUCCCAGAGGAAUUUACU